rnacentral:rRNA from 1 species
CCCGCACAAGCGGAGGAACAUGUGGUUUAAUUCGAUGAUACGCGAGGAACCUUACCUGGGCUUAAAUGGGGAGUGACAGCUGUCGAAAGAUGGUUUUCUUCGGACACUCUUCAAGGUGCUGCAUGGUUGUCGUCAGCUCGUGCCGUGAGGUGUCGGGUUAAGUCCCAUAACGAGCGCAACCCUUACCGUUAGUUACCAUCAGGUUAAGCUGGGGACUCUAGCGGGACUGCCACCGUAAGGUGAGAGGAAGGUGGGGAUGACGUCAAAUUAGCACGGCCCUUAUGUCCAGGGCUACACACGUGUUACAAUGGCCAGUACAAAGGGCAGCUACCCCGUAAGGGGAUGCGAAUCUCUAAAGCCGGUCCCAGUUCGGAUUGAAGUCUGCAACUCGACUUCAUGAAGUUGGAUUCGCUAGUAAUCGCGCAUCAGCCACGGCGCGGUCGAAUACGUUCCCGGGCCUU